CGACCGGCGCACGGGUGAGUAACGCGUAUCCAACCUGCCUUACACUCUUGGACAGCCUUCUGAAAGGGAGAUUAAUACAAGAUGUUAUCAUGAGUAAGCAUUUUCGCAUGAUUGAAGGUUUACCGGUGUAAGAUGGGGAUGCGUUCCAUUAGAUAGUAGGCGGGGUAACGGCCCACCUAGUCUUCGAUGGAUAGGGGUUCUGAGAGGAAGGUCCCCCACAUUGGAACUGAGACACGGUCCAA
rnacentral:rRNA from 1 species